rnacentral:rRNA from 1 species
UACGGAAGGCAGCAGUAGGGAAUCUUCCGCAAUGGACGAAAGUCUGACGGAGCAACGCCGCGUGAACGAUGAAGGCUUUCGGGUCGUAAAGUUCUGUUGUUAGGGAAGAACAAGUACCAGAGUAACUGCUGGUACCUUGACGGUACCUAACCAGAAAGCCACGGCUAACUACGUGCCAGCAGCCGCGGUAAUACGUAGGUGGCAAGCGUUGUCCGGAAUUAUUGGGCGUAAAGCGCGCGCAGGUGGUCCUUUUAAAGUCUGAUGUGAAAGCCCACGGCUCAACCGUGGAGGGUCAUUGGAAACUGGGGGACUUGAGUGCAGAAGAGGAAAGUGGAAUUCCACGUGUAGCGGUGAAAUGCGUAGAGAUGUGGAGGAACACCAGUGGCGAAGGCGACUUUUCUGGUCUGUAACUGACACUGAGACGCGAAAGCGUGGGGAGCGAACAGGAUUAGAUACC